CUGUGUGCAAUGGCUGCAAACAGCAGCCUCCUUGGUAGUGUAUGCAACCUGUUGCCUGUACAGGGAGCCCUAAGGGACCUUGGAGACAACU
rnacentral:snoRNA from 1 species